AGAGGGUGAGUAACAGGGCUGUCCGGUACAAGUAAAUAUAAAGAAAAGGAUAUAGUUGUCUUUUUUCUUUUUCUUAAAGAGCAUUUUCGCCGUAAAAGAUAUUGUGGAUUCUGCUGCAGUGUGGCUUACAAAUGUUCUUGCUGAAAUUAAAGCCGAAACCUGCUUGUGUAUGCCAGUGUAUGUCAUACUGGAGAAUCAUACUGAGCAAUGAAAGCGUCUUCAAGAUGGCUGGCUGGAGGGUGUCAAACAGGAGAAAUCCUGGAUUAGGAAUGCUGUCUCUUAGACAUUUGUGAUUUCCAAAGGAUCUCCCUUGUCCUUUCUUGUCAUCCUGGAAAUAACUUCUGUCCUUCUCAGCUUUCUGCAUAGUAGUCCCAACCUUGAUCCAUUGUUAGCAUAUCAUUAUCCAUUACCCCAUGGCUAGUAUUUACAGCAAAUCAAGAACUUGUGAGAUCAAACAUUAUGGGUUUCCUGAAUGUGACAAACCAGGUCACUUUAUAAACAUCUUCAACCUUGUCGACAGCUUGCUGGGUUCAAGGUUCUUGCAGGAAAUGCUGUCAGCCGAUGAAACAAACCACAGUUGGGACUCAAAACAGCAAAUAAGAUUCUUGGCAGUCAAUGACUUUCACAACAGUCACCUUCUCAAUAAAAACUGCAGUUAUGCCACAGUGGAGGUGUACUAAACCGGUAUGGACAUAGUUCGAGUAUUUUUUAUGUAGUCAUUACCGGUUUCAUCUUAUGUCACAUGAAGGGCUUCGGAAGUUGUAAAGUGUUCAUUUCCCAUUUUGAAUAUGUGUAUAAGAUAAAAUCUCAAUGAGAAAAACAAUCUUAUAUUGCUCUAAAUACCAUAUGUGGCUUCGUUUAGUUUUAAACUACCGUGUUUUAACAUGCUCUGUCUUAUUUCAGGGAAAUCACAGGCUUUUAUAUAUGACAAUACAUUGCCCAUGAAUAGGCCAGGAUUUAUACAAAAAGACUCAUUAAUAAAUCACUUUGCUUUUUAAACUGCUACAUUCUCCCUUUAUAGUCCCUGUUGACCCCUAAUGCAGCUGUUUUCCCUUAAAGUACGCUUCUUUUUUUCAAUGGUAAUAAGGACUGCAGUAGAGAUGAAUUUAAAAGCACACGGAAUUGUACAAUUACAUAUCUUUAUUUUAUUAUUAUAUUGCUUAAAUGGUCUUGGGGUUAUUCCAAGUUGUAUCUAAGUACAUAGGUACUGUUGUAUAAUGCGCCCUAUCCUACACAACACCAUUAAUAGAACUAAAACACCAACUGCACACUGUACCAGGAAGAGUGGAACCCAAU